UCGCCGUCCAGCCGCGCUUCCCUCACACCUGCUGGCAUGCGUGUGGGCGCCCGCGCAGGUUCUUAAAAUGAAGAAGUUUAAUUUCCGAAAAGUUUUGGAUGGCUUGACUGCCUCCUCACCGGGCAGUGGCAGCAGCAGUGGCAGUAACAGCGGUGGGACUGGUAGUGGUCCCUUGCAUCCAGGAGGGACAGCUGGAGUUCUGAGAGAGGAGAUUCAGGAAACCUUGACUUCAGAAUAUUUCCAGAUUUGUAAGUACGGUGAAUAAAGCCAGUUUGGAUGAUUGAGCUCAUAAUUUUUAACUAAUGUCCACACUCAUAGUGUUUAAUUAGGGUAAGUACCUAUUGAAGGAAUUGCUGAAUCAUUUCAUUAGUGUAUUUUUAUGUGUAUAAAUUACCACAAUAAUUUCUAGAAUGAUUGUACAGUUAUUCAAAUCAUCCACCAGAUCUGAUAGCUCUAACUCACUAGAAACACUUGGAAUUACUAGCCUCUUUAAUUGUGGCAAUUGUCGAUUAUACAUAGUGCUACUUCACUGUGGAUUUAAUUUGAAUCGUAUUAGUAACAGGCAAUAUUGAACUCUAAAAUUUUUACUCAUUCUUACAUCACUUUGGUCAAUAUAUCUUUUUAAGUGCUUUUCUCAUUUAGAAAAAAAAAUUGACUGUUUAGCUCCUUGUCACUUACUUUUAGGAUAUUUUUACCAUAUUCUGUCCUUUUAAUUUCCUUGGAUAUUUGAAUUU
rnacentral:lncRNA from 1 species